GAGGAGGGAGGGGUAGGAGUGAAUGGAGGGGUAGGAGUCCAUUCACUCCUACCCCUCCCUCCUCAAUUGUAUAAU